rnacentral:rRNA from 1 species
CCUACGGGUGGCAGCAGUGGGGAAUAUUGGACAAUGGGCGAAAGCCUGAUCCAGCCAUGCCGCGUGUGUGAAGAAGGCCUUCGGGUUGUAAAGCACUUUCAGUGGGGAAGAAAGCCUUGGGGCUAAUACCCUCGAGGAAGGACAUCACCCACAGAAGAAGCACCGGCUAACUCCGUGCCAGCAGCCGCGGUAAUACGGAGGGUGCGAGCGUUAAUCGGAAUUACUGGGCGAAAGCGCGCGUAGGCGGUCUGAUAAGCCGGUUGUGAAAGCCCCGGGCUCAACCUGGGAACGGCAUCCGGAACUGUCAGGCUAGAGUGCAGGAGAGGAAGGUAGAAUUCCCGGUGUAGCGGUGAAAUGCGUAGAGAUCGGGAGGAAUACCAGUGGCGAAGGCGGCCUUCUGGACUGACACUGACGCUGAGGUGCGAAAGCGUGGGUAGCAAACAGGAUUAGAUACCCGAGUAGUC